rnacentral:rRNA from 1 species
GAUGAACGCUGGCGGCGUGCCUAAUACAUGCAAGUCGAGCGAACAGAUGAGGAGCUUGCUCCUCUGACGUUAGCGGCGGACGGGUGAGUAACACGUGGAUAACCUACCUAUAAGACUGGGAUAACUUCGGGAAACCGGAGCUAAUACCGGAUAAUAUAUUGAACCGCAUGGUUCAAUAGUGAAAGACGGUUUUGCUGUCACUUAUAGAUGGAUCCGCGCCGCAUUAGCUAGUUGGUAAGGUAACGGCUUACCAAGGCAACGAUGCGUAGCCGGCCUGAGAGGGUGAUCGGCCACACUGGAACUGAGACACGGUCCAGACUCCUACGGGAGGCAGCAGUAGGGAAUCUUACGCAAUGGGCGAAAGCCUGACGGAGCAACGCCGCGUGAGUGAUGAAGGUCUUCGGAUCGUAAAACUCUGUUAUUAGGGAAGAACAAAUGUGUAAGUAACUAUGCACGUCUUGACGGUACCUAAUCAGAAAGCCACGGCUAACUACGUG